CGCUUUGGGGACUGUGUGUGACUAGACCGGAAAAAAAAUAAAAGGGUUUGCUGAGCUUGCAGCGCGCACCUGCCUGGGCGCGCAGGGGCGCGAGCCCCCGCCUGGCCGCCCACGUGACGCUGCCCCGCGCUGGACGCGCCGGAGGGACCUGGGCAGAGGCGCUUCCCAUCCGCGGGGCGGUGAGAGCCAGGGAGCAGGAUGGCGGAGACUGGACCACCGGGCCGGUUCCCCUUUGCUUCCUCUUUGUUUAAGCACCUUUUCAUUGACUGGGCCCUUCCUGGCAGGGGAGUUUUUGUUUCCGUAAAAUGGCGACAGGAAAUCCCACCUGCGCGUCAGCCACCAAUUAGGCUGUCAUCAUAGAGCUUUUUAUUGACAGGAAUGGUUCAGUCUCCCUGUUCCAUCAAAACAGGAAAGGGAAGCACCACUGGAAAAGCGAGAAGACAGCCAAAUUUCACAACCCUCAUAACUAAAAUCCUGUUGCCGUGGAAUGGCAGUAAAUUAUCUUCUUUAGUUCAACAACGGCUUCCUGAGAACCCCAUUUAGGAGGAAUACUUUUGAAUAAACCUGAGAAACUGAACAGUCAUUGCCAACAGAGGGGGUAAAAUGAUGGACAGCCUAUCUUAGACAGACCUGCCAUCAAAUUCUGUCUGACAGUUAUUGCUUUUUUCACCCACUUUUGUCCUUAUCCUGUUUCCCCACUUUGUUAAAAAAAAAAAAGGGGGGGGGGAGGUUAAUAGGACCCACAUCAUAGUAAUAUUCUACAGGUUAUCAAGAAGUUGAUUCUCCCCGUCUCCCAUUUCCGUCCUACAAGCAGCUCAUUUAGUAUAAAAUUACUCAUUUUAAGUAGUAUGCAUCUUGCCUGAAUGGCACCAUAAUUCUUAUGAAAAAACUAGGAAGUCUGAAUAGGCAAAGUAGGUAAACUAUGGGCACAGGUCCAUAAGCCUGUUGAAAUGUUCACCUUAUUAAGCAGAAUGUAUAUUCACUAAUGUUGGUUUGCAAAAAAAACCCACAAAACUAUCUUUUGAUUAUAGUUUUUACUUACUUGCUAGUUUCAGAGCACAAAAAAACCGCAGUUACCUGGCAUUUUUUGAAUUGGAUUCAAUAGUGAUGAAUUGAGCUUCUACUCUUUGCCAGCUAAGCACGUUAGAUAUAAAUAUUCUCUCAUUUAAUCCUUGUAACCACUCAAUUAAGUACUAUCCUCUUUGUAUAAACAAGAAAGCAAGUUCUAAGUGGCUAAAUUGGCCAUAUCACUUAAGACUAAGUGGUGAAAGGGGAAGUGAGGGGAGUGAUUCCUGUUCAGGUUUCAGUUCAAAAAGUCCGUGCUUAGCCUUAACCACGAUGCUAUAACCAUCUGCAUCUAUCAAUAGACAUUCUUGGGCCUAGAAUUUACAAGGAUCUCCACCCCCAUUUAGUUGACAACCUGUAACUGCAGUGUACACGUCAGCCUGGAGGCUGAAAUGAAGAUCUGUCACUAUGUGGAGAAUCAGGUGGGCCCGGAUAAUCACUUUUGUUCCUGGUGCUCGGCUGGAUUUAGAGAAUGAAACGCAUCCCCUGGACUGGAGCCUGAGCUGAAGGUCAAGCUGACGACACACCUGCCUCUGGCAAGGUGUGUUUCCAGGAUGUGGCCACUGGAUUCAGCUGACAAUAAUUAAAGAAAUGCUCAUGUGCCUUCCCAGGUGCUCUCUACAACUUUCACGUGCAUUUUUCUCCUUGAUUACUUGUAGGUGAAACUUCUUUUCAGAGUAAGUAGCUCAGCUCUUAAAUCCAAUUGCUUUGGUCUCAAAUGGGGAAAAGAAUGCCACGAUGAAAACUGUCCACUUUGUGCUUAUUGAGAGAUGGGUAAUAGAAUAAGCACUUUCCAGAUAGUUUCCUAUUUGUUUUUUAUUGAAUUUAUUGGGGUUACAUUGGCUAAUAAAAUUAUACACAUUUAAGGUG